GCUUACGGCCACACCUUCCUGAGUACGCCUGAUCUCGUCCGAUCUCGGAAGCUAAGCAGGGUCGGGCCUGGUUAGUACUUGGAUGGGAGACCGCCUGGGAAUACCAGGUGCUGUAAGAU
ensembl:rRNA 5S_rRNA 5S ribosomal RNA